GGAUAUUGUAGUGGCCUGGAUAUGGGGCAUUGCACUGAUCUUUUUCCCCAGUUAUUGUAUCACGCCCUGAGUGUUUGGGUGUCCAAUCAUGGGCUGCGUCAUUUCCGCAGGAGCGCCUGUUCCGGGUUCCCCCUUUUCCGCUUUGAGGUUUUGGCUGAUGCAGAAAGAUUGUUGAUGUGGUCCGCUGGUGCAGCCGUUUCCCGGCGUUUCCCUUCCGGGUUUCAGGGUGUUACUGGCAGGCUGAAGCUGUGUGUGUGUGUGUGUGUUAGCGGCUUGGAGCGCUAGUAGAGGCGCGGGUGUAGUGUCCACAUGAAGGAGAAUAAUCCGGGUUAAAGGAAGUGCAGUGAUUCUGCAGGGCGCCAUUUUCCGCACUGCUGCUUUGUUUUGUCCGCUUUGUGCGGCUGACUGCUGCUUGUGCUACUGGCCUGGUUUUAUUUAGUUUUGUUGGUUUGCUUUUCUUUGGUUUGGUCUUGUACAUUCUGCUCGGUUCCUUUUAUUUAUUUGUCUCGGUUCCUUCAUGACCUGCUUAUUCUGUGUUCUGUAUUUGAGUUAUGUGAAUAAGAAGGUGGAGAGGAGCCUGAGGAUCUUCUCCUGAUUUAUUCACAGGGUUAUUGUGGGUGUUAUUUUAUUAUUUUAGGAUUAUUUCUGUCUUAUCCUCAUUUGUACUUGGUAAUAUUUUUGAAUGUUUUCUCGCCUGCCGCGGGAAUUUUUAUUUUUUCUUAAUUUUUUUUGUAGUUGUGUUCUUUUUUUGAGGUCCUUUUCUUAAAAUUGUUGCCAGUUUUUACAGAUAUUAAUUCGAGAGUACUGAAGCCCCUUUGUCAACAUUUUUACCGCGUGUGUGUGAAAAACACGUAAAGAACAAAGCAUUGAACUAAGAGACACGUAUAGGAUGCAAUGGAACUUUGGAAUUCUCCCAUAAUGCACCUCGGCAACAAAAACAAAACAUUAAAAACAUAAUUUCUCAUUAGGUAUUGUAGUAAAUAUGAAACAAUAAUUACUGAAUAUAGUGAAAUAUUCAUUACUACAUGUCUUUCUUUUAGCUUGUUCAGUUGUUUAGAAGAGGUUUUAUUCUACUUUUUACUAUUAUUUAUUUUUUUAAUCUACCAUGAUCGAGAAGUGUAGUGAUUAUCUGCUCCAUAAAUAGCUUCUGUUUUCUUUUGUCUCUCUGUGUUUGAUUAAGGCAGCGCAAAGUGGUCUCUCCUGAAAUGGGCAAGUGCCACGCCUUACCAAGCACCCAUGCCCUGCGAAUAGUCCCAGCUUGGCAUGUCCCUUCCCCCUUUUACUUUUUCUGUUUGUUUGUUUGUUUUCUACUUGCGUUUCACAGGAUUUUUUCACAGUAACUAUUGUUAUUAUUUAUUUUAUUUCUAGAGCUCUUUAGUAAACCCUCACAGCACUUCAUAAACCUCAUAAACCACAAUCCUUCACAUCACUUACAGCUUUACACAUGAGGAGAAAAACAGGCUCCUGCUAAGAGUUAUUAACAUCAGCAUUGUCUACAUGGCUUUUUAACAAGUUUCUUCAGUAUAUUAUUAAAUAAAUGAAUCCAUAAAUAAAACAGAUCUAUUCAAGGCUUUGUACAAAUCUAAUACACUAAUGUGUACAUUUUUACAUCAUUACAAGAGUUAAGAGUGUUGUCUUAUUGACAAACUACAUUUCUUCUGUGAAGCAUCCGACACUUUAGUGUAAAAUUCUACCAAUACAUACUGAUUUUACUUCCAAGCAGAAAAAAGAGAAAACAAAAAGAAAAAAGAGCACAAAUAAGCUCUCUGUGUUAUAUGAGUUAUUAAAUUUCAGAGUCAUCUACAGGAAAAUGCACAAGUUCUCCAUCUAACUGAACGUUUGGAUGAAAAGUGAAGCCUUUGAGUGAACUUUGUGUUUUUACUGCCAUCUACAGGAAACGCGACGGUGCUGUGCGCGUGCACGUGAAGGGGUGUAGGAUCCAGCCGGGAAGUCGGAUUUACACACAACACCUGACUUUCCCCAUCGUUUAUAAAUAAACGAUAAGACUGGAUUCAGGAAGCUUCUUCAGAUGACAGCAGAGUAGUUUGACAUCCUGCUGGGGAUGGUUGGACCUGUCAUAACCAAGCAGCACACACAGAUGAGACGGGCAAUAUCCCCAAAUUAGUGCCUAGCUGUGACCAUACAGUUUUUGGCAACAGGCGAAACGUUCAGUUUCCUCAGUUUCCAAUACAGGGUUGGGGUAAGCACUAUUUCUAACAUCGUUAUGGAGACCUGUGCUGCUCUCUACCGAGUCAUGAAAAAAGACUUCCUCAAGACACCCACAACAGAGGCAGAAUGGCAGAAAAUAGCACAUGACUUUCAAUCUAAAUGGCAAUUCCCACAUUGCUUAGGUGCGCUUGAUGGUAAACACAUCUGUAUACAGCCUCCAGCAAAAAGUGGUAGUCUUUACCAUAAUUACAAGUCCAGCUUCUCUAUAAUAAUGAUGGCUGCUGUGGAUGCCAAUUACAAGUUCAGCCUUUGCUGACUGGGAGAACAAUGACCACAGCAUAGUUGAGGGAUCCUGGAGGAAUCAAGGGAUCGGGUCUUUCCAAACAAUGGAUCAUUGAAGGGAACGCAAUGCAUCUGUUGUGGCAAAAAUGCAACGAAACCUUCUGCAUGAGUACUUCAUCUCACGUGCCGGAUGUGUUCCUUGGCAGGAGAAACACAUUUAGUGUUGUAAGGAUGUCAGAGUGUAACUUUUUGUAGUGGAGAAAACACUUUGUUUUUUAUUAUGAUAUCUCAUACUGUAGCACAUUGUCAUUUUUUUAUUUUGAAGAAGAAGAAAAGUGCCUUUCUUAAAAAGCAUGGUGCUUCUGUUAUUGAUGUUAGCCUUUUAGGCACAGAAUACUAUUUAUAUACUGUAUCUUCAGACCAUACAACUUGGGUGUACUUUAAAAUCAUUGUUUCAAAUAGCAUGUAAAACUUUUUUACUUUGUCAAACAUUUAUUUAUAAAGUGCAUACCAUAAACGUACUAUGGUUUCCAAUAAAGUCCUGAAAGAAUGACUUCAUAUCUUACAACAUUUUUUUUAACAAUGCAACAGUAACAUUACUAACAGUAAUGUUAAUAAACAGUAAAAUAAAAAUGUGUUCACACAAAGCAGCAGCAGAGUAACACUUUUACUGUAAAGGAAAAGUAAAAUAAUCUGAAUAAAAACAAGUAAAUCAAAAUAACAGCUUUUCAGAAACUUUCACUGACAUCGUAGUGUGGCAAUUUUUGCAAAAAGCCUUGAGGUCGAGAACCCUGAGGUGGCAUAUGUUGUGGGUAGGACUGUACCGGUGGCAAAGGUGUAACAAUAGGAUGGAAUGUGUAUGGUGCUGAUGGUGAAUGUGAGGAAGACGAUAUAUUUCUUUCAGCAUCUUGAGCAUCAUAUAUCAUGUUCAUAAUGUUCCUUUUCAGUCUGGUUACAUUAGCUGCAUCUUGUAGUAGCCUUAAUUCAGAUGCUACCUGGUUUCCAAAUGUAGUGAAAGCAUCGGGUGUUGGGUCGG